rnacentral:rRNA from 1 species
AACGAACGUUGGCGGCGUGCUUAACACAUGCAAGUCGAACGCGAAAGGGACUUCGGUCCUGAGUAGAGUGGCGCACGGGUGAGUAACGCGUAAGUAAUCUACCCUCGCAUCAGGAAUAACUAUGGGAAGCUGUAGCUAAUACCGGAUACGUUCUCCUAUUUACGGACUGGAGAAGAAAGAUGGCCUCUUCAUGAAAGCUAUCGUGCGGGGAGGAGCUUGCGUACCAUUAGCUAGUUGGUAGGGUAAUGGCCUACCAAGGCGACGAUGGUUAGCGGGUCUGAGAGGAUGAUCCGCCACACUGGAACUGAAACACGGACCAGACUCCUACGGGAGGCAGCAGUGAGGAAUAUUGCGCAAUGGGGGAAACCCUGACGCAGCGACGCCGCGUGGAUGAUGAAGGCCUUAGGGUCGUAAAAUCCUGUCAGGUGGGAAGAAGUGGUUAUAGACUAAUACUCUAUUUCUUUGACGGUACCACCAAAGGAAGCACCGGCUAACUCCGU